rnacentral:rRNA from 1 species
UACGUAGGGGGGCUAGCGUUGUCCGGAAUCAUUGGGCGUAAAGCGCGUGUAGGCGGUUCGGUAAGUCCGCUGUGAAAGUCGGGGGGCUCAACCCUCGGAUGCCGGUGGAUACUGUCGAGCUUGAGUACGGAAGAGGCGAGUGGAAUUCCUGGUGUAGCGGUGAAAUGCGCAGAUAUCAGGAGGAACACCAAUUGCGAAGGCAGCUCGCUGGGACGUUACUGACGCUGAGACGACGAAAGCGUGGGGGAGCAAACAGG